GAUGAACGCUAGCGGCAGGCCUAACACAUGCAAGUCGAGGGGUAGUAUAGCAAUAUAUGAGACCGGCGCACGGGUGCGUAACGCGUAUGCAACCUACCUUUUACAGGGGGAUAGCCCAGAGAAAUUUGGAUUAAUACCCCAUGGUGUAUUUAAGUGGCAUCACUUGAUUACUAAAGUUCCAACGGUAAAAGAUGGGCAUGCGUCCUAUUAGCUAGAUGGUAAGGUAACGGCUUACCAUGGCUACGAUAGGUAGGGGUCCUGAGAGGGAGAUCCCCCACACUGGUACUGAGACACGGACCAGACUCCUACGGGAGGCAGCAGUGAGGAAUAUUGGACAAUGGGCGCAAGCCUGAUCCAGCCAUGCCGCGUGCAGGAAGACGCAUCUAUGGUGUGUAAACUGCUUUUGUACGGGAAGAAACACUCCUACGUGUAGGAGCUUGACGGUACCGUAAGAAUAAGGAUCGGCUAACUCCGUG
rnacentral:rRNA from 1 species